rnacentral:antisense_RNA from 1 species
ACCUGCCUGCAGAUACAAACCCCACUCCCUGCGAAGAUGGUGUACACGCAGCCCCGAGCACAGACCCGGAGCUGUCCACCCUUCUUGGGCGCCGUCGCGGUCUGGCCGCUGCCCUUCGAACCCAUGCCAUCUUGGAAUUACAUUUGGAAAGGUGGUUGUUAAACAUUUCCCAGCACACACCUGGAUCUGCAUCUGCUGUGUCAGUUGAACCACUCACUGGUUCUGUGACCUCAGUUCUUUGUAGACUCUGGAAUGGAGCUGGAAGCUGCAUCUUCAGCACACUAACGCAGGAACAGAAAACCAAACACUGCCUGUUCCCGCUUAGAAGUGGGAGCUGAACGAGGAGAACACAUGGACAUAUGAAGGGGAACAACACACUCUGGGGCCUGUGAGGUGCAGGGAGAGCAUCAAGAAGAACAGCUAAUGGGUGCUGGGCUUAAUACCUGGGUGAUGGGUUGAUGUGUGCGGCAAACCACCAUGGCACACAUUUACCUAUGUAACAAACCUGGACAUCCUGCACAUGUACCCCGGAACUUAAAAAUAAAAGUUGACAAAAAGAAA